CUAGAUUGAUCUAACCAAUAAGGUGCUUCAUAGAGGCAUUGAAAGACUUAACAGGAAGCACAAAUUUAAGACCAUCAGCAUGGUAAACAUAAUCCUGAAAUCCAUAAUAAAGUUUUGACUGGUCUUAUUACCACAACCAUUACCCCACAAAAUAAUAAUAGUAAUGUUUCAUUUAUUGCUUCCAUUAUGUUCUGCUCCAACAUAACUAAUGGAAGAUGGAUCCUUUUGUUAACCCCUUUUGCAGAGGUUAAUCUGCCAGGUUGCCCAUAUUGCUUGGACUCUCGUCUGCCAAAAAGUUUUCUGACAGCACAAAGAUUAACAGUUCCGAACUUGUGCACAGCAACCAUAAUAGUAAUGUUUCAUUUAUUGCUUUCAUUAUAUUCUGCUCCAACAUAACUAUUGGAAGAUGGAUCCUUUUGUUAACCCUUUUUGUGGAGGUUAAUCUGCCAGGUUGCCCAUAUUGCUUGGACUCUCGUCUGCCGAAAAGUUUUCUGACAGCACAAAG
rnacentral:lncRNA from 1 species